rnacentral:rRNA from 1 species
UACGUAGGUGACAAGCGUUGUCCGGAAUUACUGGGCGUAAAGAGCGCGCAGGCGGUCGUUCAAGUCGCGUGUGAAAGCCCCCGGCUCAACUGGGGAGGGUCACGCGAUACUGAUCGACUGGAAGGCAGGAGAGGGUAGUGGAAUUCCCGGUGUAGUGGUGAAAUGCGUAGAUAUCGGGAGGAACACCAGUGGCGAAGGCGACUACCUGGCCUGUUCUUGACGCUGAGGCGCGAAAGCUAGGGGAGCAAACGGG